AAAAAUUUAGUUAAUUAAUUAAUAACAUUAGUUUGUCAAACUAAAAUAAUUUCUUAAAGAAAUAAUUUUUA
rnacentral:tRNA from 1 species